rnacentral:rRNA from 3 species
AAUCCAUAGGUUAAUGAGGCGAACCGGGGGAACUGAAACAUCUAAGUACCCCGAGGAAAAGAAAUCAACCGAGAUUCCCCCAGUAGCGGCGAGCGAACGGGGAGGAGCCCAGAGCCUGAAUCAGCAUGUGUGUUAGUGGAAGCGUCUGGAAAGGCGCGCGAUACAGGGUGACAGCCCCGUACACAAAAGCGCAUGUGCUGUGAGCUCGAUGAGUAGGGCGGGACACGUGGUAUCCUGUCUGAAUAUGGGGGGACCAUCCUCCAAGGCUAAAUACUCCUGACUGACCGAUAGUGAACCAGUACCGUGAGGGAAAGGCGAAAAGAACCCCGGCGAGGGGAGUGAAAAAGAACCUGAAACCGUGUACGUACAAGCAGUGGGAGCACAGGUUUACCUGUGUGACUGCGUACCUUUUGUAUAAUGGGUCAGCGACUUAUAUUCUGUAGCAAGGUUAACCGAAUAGGGGAGCCG